rnacentral:tRNA from 1 species
UGGAACGUAGCUCAGCGGAGAGAGCAAAAAGCGCCGGCAACGAAGCCGCAGGUUCGAAUCCUGUCGUUCCAA